rnacentral:lncRNA from 1 species
UUGGAAUGUGUCUGUCCCACUCGACCCCGUAGGCUUCUCAAUACCGCACGAGCGAACAUAAGUCGCGUAGGCUAACUCCGGAGUGCCGGCUUGUGGGGAGCGACCCACACAAGUAUGUGCGAAUAAGCACAAAUGGCAAACAAGCAAGGUCACUGUCUCAAAUACUCUAUCCACGUGUCUCUAACAUGGCAAGGUCACUAGCAUCCCAAGGAUCUAGCCCAAUGUCUCUAAGUGAUGUUCGAACACUCACUUGCUUAGUGCCUCUUUAUGACAUUUAAGCAUCACAACUGAUCAAGCCCAAUUCUUGUUCUAUGUUUCAUUUAAAACAUUAAUACCAAUGAUUACUAUAGCCCGGGCCCAAUGCCUCUUUAUGACAUUGGCCCAAUUCUCAAAUAGUCCAAGUUCUCAAGCCCUCUCUAGGCUUCUAAAAUCCCUAAUGUCACAAUUGGCAUAUAGGUUAAAUGCAAGAAAACAAGAUCCAUUUUCAUGAUAGGGGCCCUAGUUCCAAAUCUCAUCUAGAAUGCUAUGUUUCACAUGCAUGCUCUCUACUACAUAGAGAUCAAAAAUUUACUUUACAUAACGUAUGCAUGUUAAGCAUUCUAAAAUUCAUAAUAAUUAUAUUUAACAUGAAAAUGCAUGAAUUUCUACUUUAUGAAACACAUUUCGCCAAAUAUGAGGAUUUCUCAUAUCAUAGGUUAGGUCAAACCCACUGAACCGUCGCGUGCUCCCUCGAUUCGCCGAACGAAGUUGUCUACGAGUCUCAAAAUACCCUAAAAGUAUCGAGCGAAGAGAUACACGGGCAUUACGAUUAAUUAUAAGGUCAAACUUUAACAAACUUAGCAAAAGGGCUAAAACUCACCUAAUGUGUAGGAAAUCUCUCUCAAGCUCCAAAAGAGAGCUAAAUCCCUUCCAAUCCAAGCCCAAGGAAGGUUCUAAUCCAAACAAUCUAGCUCCAAAAAGUCCUAGAUUUAAAAUGCCCAAAAUCAAACCCUAAGUAUCAAAUAUAGGGUUCCAUCUCAAAAACUUAGCAAAACAUGGAACAAAAGCUCAAAUCAUGUUGCUAACCUCCCUAGAAGUCUCAACUUGGGCUCCAAAUCAAGUGGGGUGGAAGAUCUUUCCUCCAACGAGCCUUUAUCAAAGCUCCAAGUCCUCUCCAAUGGUGGAAAAAGCCUCCAAGAUGCAACAAGAAGCAAAAUGAGGCAUUAAUCCUCAAAAAUCUCCAAUAAAACCAAGAAAAAUCAAAAUGAGAGAAUGGAUGGGCUCCUCACCUUGUUUCCCUGUGGUUCCAGCACAAAAAAAGCCCUAAGGGGCGUGGGUGCUGUUAUAGAGAGGCUAUAAUCGCGGAAAAGCCUCUGCAGUUUCGAACUGCUCGAAAUCAGCCUCCUUGUACCGGUAUACAGGCCCACGAAAAUCACAACCCGAGGCUCGGGUUGGCGGGUUCAGCGGCUCUGUACCGGUACAAGCUCCCUGUACCGGUACAACCAUCAACCUUUGUACCGGUACAACCAUCAACCCUUGUACCGUACAACCAUCAACCCUGUACCGGUAUAAGGGCUGCUGAAAGCUACUCGAGGGCUAACCAAAAAUUCGAUUUUUCGGAUUUUGGUGCACAGCUUUAAACCUCGAUUUUCGGGAUACAUGCCAUAGGUCGGAACACAGUCAACGACCUGCCAGAAAAUCUGGAGAAGCUCAGCACACAACGAACCACUCGAACCUCGCAAUUUGCAAAGGUCCAGUGUGUUACAUUCACCCUUCCUAAAAAGGAGUUUCGUCCGUGAAACUCGAAAAAGACAAGUACCUCAAGCAUCCAUCUGAAAAAGAUGGGGAUAACGCUCCCGCAGCGCGCUCUCCAACUCCCAAGUGGCCUCGUGCUCGUCGUGGUUGCUCCAAAGCACCUUCACGUAUGGAAUUUCACGGUUCCGCAGUCUUUUUACCUCGCGAGCCAAAAUCCUCAAAAGUUGCUCUUCAAAGCUCAAGUCAUCCCGUAGCUCCAAAGGUGUAGCAUCCAACACGUGAGCCGGGUCGUGGAUGUACUUCCGAAGGACCGAUACAUGGAAUACAUUAUGUACACCCGAUAAGUGUGACGGUAGAGCGAGUCGAUACGCUACCGGACCUACACGCUCCAAAACCUCAAACGACCCAAUGAAUCGGGGGCUCAAUUUGCCCUGGAUUCCAAAUCGUCUAAUCCCUCGAGUCGGUGAGACUUUCAAGAAGACGUGAUCUCCAAUCUGAAACUCCAAGUCUCGUCGACGCCGAUCAGCAUAACUCCUCUGCCUACUCUGGGCCGUCAACAAUCGCUCCCGAGCAAUGCGAACCUUGUCCUCUGCUUCCUGAAGCACAUCAGGGCCUAAAGCCAAUCUCUCGCCAACCUCACUCCAAUGAAGUGGCGAUCUACACUUCCGUCCAUAGAGUGCCUCGAACGGUGCCAUCUUAAUGCUUGCUUGAUAACUGUUGUUAUAAGCAAAUUCUGCCAUCAGUAGAUGCUACUACCAUCCUCCCUGGAAAUCAAACACGCAAGCUCGAAGCAUGUCCUCGAGAGUCUGUAUAGUACGCUCCGACUGCCCGUCACUCUGGGGGUGGAAAGCAGUGCUGAAAUCCAAGCGCGUACCCAAAGCGUCCUGUAAGCUCCUCCAAAAAUGGGAUACAAAACGGGGGUCUCGAUCCGAUACUAUAGAAGUAGGUACCCCGUGCAAUCGUACAAUCUCAUCCAAAAAAACCUGUGCGAGUCUCUCACCAGUCCAAGUAGUGUGGAUAGGUAUGAAAUGUGCCGAUUUUGUCAAUCUAUCCACAAUCACCCAAAUAGCGUCAUGCCCGGCCUGUGAGCGAGGCAAUCCCAUCACGAAAUCCAUGGUAAUCUUUUCCCAUUUCCACACUGGAAUCGGUAGGCUCUGCAACUUCCCCGCAGGAACUCGGUGCUCAGCCUUCACCUGUUGGCAAGUUAAACAUCUAGCAACAAACUCACCAACAUCCUUUUUCAUCCCGGGCCACCAAUAAAGCAACUUCAAGUCCUUGUACAUCUUGGUGCCUCCCGGAUGUAUAGCAUACGGUGCUCGGUGUGCUUCUUGAAGAAUGUCUUCUUUAAUGCCCAAGUCCGCCGGUACACAAAGUCGUCCGCGGAAACGCAUCAAUCCAUCACCGUCUAAAGUGAAGUCACCGGUGCAACCAUCAACCAUCUUAGCUCGAAUCUUUUGCAACUCCGAGUCGGAAGCUUGCUUUUCUUUAAUCCUUUCCAAAAGUGUAGGUUGCACCACCAAAGUCAUCAGUCUCAAAGGUGUAUCAGGAGCCACCACCUCCAACUCCAACCGCUUCAUCUGCUCGAUCAACGGCGGUUGAGUAACCACAAGCAUCGCUAAGUUCUCAGUCGAUUUCCGACUUAGCGCAUCCGCCACCACGUUAGCCUUGCCCGGGUGGUAAAGUAUCGUCAAAUCAUAAUCCUUGAGUAGCUCCAACCAUCUGCGCUGCCUCAAGUUCAACUCCUUUUGAGUGAAUAGAUACUUUAAGCUCUUGUGAUCCGUAUACACUUCGCAUCGCUCGCCGUAUAAGUAGUGGCGCCAUAGCUUCAAUGCAAAGACCACGGCCGCCAACUCUAAGUCGUGAGUAGGGUAAUUCCUUUCAUAAUUCUUCAAUUGGCGAGAAGCAUAUGCGACCACUCUCCCGUCCUGCAUCAAAACACAGCCCAAUCCAUUAAAUGAAGCAUCACUAUAAAUCACAUACCCUGCUCCAGCAGUUGGCAAGGUUAGGAUCGGGGCGGUCGUGAAUCUCUGUUUCAGCUCUUGGAAGCUCCUUUCACACGCGUCAUUCCAAAUAAACUUGGUGCCCUUAUGCGUGAGCCUCGUGAGGGGAGUAGAUAACUUUGCAAAUCCCUCGACGAACCGUCGGUAGUAGCCGGCCAAACCAAUGAAGCUCCGUACCUCAGUCACGCUCGUCGGCCUAGGCCAAUCCUUGAUAGCUUCAAUUUUUCUUGGGUCCACGGCUAUGCCUGAUCCUGAAAUCAAAUGGCCCAAAAACACCACCUUUCUAAGCCAAAAUUUAUACUUUUUCAACUUGGCGUAGAGCUUCUUUUCCCGAAGCACUUGAAGUACAAGUCUCAAGUGUUCCUCGUGAUCCGCAUCACUCCGGGAAUACACUAAGAUGUCGUCGAUGAACACCACGACAAAUCUGUCUAAGUAAGGCUUGAAAACACGGUUCAUUAAAUCCAUAAAAGCUGUCGGGACAUUAGUGAGCCCAAACGGCAUAACUGUAAACUCAUAGUGUCCAUACCGCGUUCUAAAAGCCGUCUUCGAUACAUCCUCAGGUCUGAUCCUCAACUGGUGGUAUCCCGAUUGCAAGUCGAUCUUGGAAUACACACAAGAUCCCUGGAGCUGAUCAAAAAGAUCAUCAAUUCUCGGUAAUGGAUACUUAUUCUUGAUCGUGACUUUGUUAAGUUCACGAUAGUCCACGCACAAGCGAAGUGAUCCAUUAUUUUUCUUAACAAACAGGACCGGUGCUUCCCAAGGUGACACACUCGGUCGCACAAAACCCUUGUCCAGAAGAUCCUGUAACUAUGCCUUCAGCUCUCUCAAUUCUACUGGUGCCAUCCUAUAGGGUGCCUUUGAGAUUGGAGUAGUCCCGGGAACGAGAUCUACCACAAACUCAAUCUCCCUGUCAGGUGGCAUGCCUGGAAGCUCCGCUGGAAACACAUCUCUAAAUUCCUGCACUACGGGGAUAUCCUCAAUCCUAGGGGCGUCAUCCUCACCCCUCAACACAAUAGUACCCAAGUAGGCUACGCAGCCUCUACUAAUCAACUGCCGAGCUCGAGAAGAGCUAAUCGUCAUCGCAAAAAGUGAACUCUAGCAUCCUCGGUACACAACCUCCGCCUGCCCCGGCUCUCUAAACGUCACCGUCCGAUUCUUGCAAUCGAUGGUGGCAAAGUACUUGGUCAACCAAUCCAUGCCCAACACGACAUCAAACUCCCCAAGUUUAUGCAAAGCUAGCAAGUCCACGGGCAUGAUCCAAUCUCCAACCCGAACAGGGCAACUGGGGCAAACUUUCCGAAUGUCCAAAGAAUGAUCGGGUACAACAACUCGUCCCGGAUGCAAGAAGGAUACAAGUGGGAUGCCAUGCAACUCAGCAAACAGCCGAUCUAUGAAUGAAUGCGAUGCACCGGUAUCAAAUAAAGCUCUAACUCGAAUACCAUGAAGUAAAAUGAUACCUGCGACCACAUUCUCGGCUGCCGCCGCCACCUCAGUCUGGGCCGCAUACAUGCGCCCGCUCGGGGCCUGUCGCGACCCCUCCGCCUGCCGCUGAACUGGCGGCCGUCCUACCUAGUGAUGCGCAGAAGAUAUCCCCUGGCUGGGACCUGGCAAUGCUGGUGCAGAUGCCGAAGAUGGCGCUGGCGCUGGACUCCUCGGACAGUCCGACUGGAAGUGGCCCUCCUGGCCACACAAGAAGCACCUGCCCCGGCUGCGUGACAUUUCACUGUCAGGAACGGUAUGGUGACACCUACAGAUUUUCACCGCAGAGGGAAGCUGACAGGCGAUUCGGAUAAUAGUAUCGUCCUCGCUGGUAACUGUGCCACGUCCUCUAUGCACGCGGGACGGUCUCCAAAAGCUCCUAGAGGAUGCCUCGACGGCCGUCUCGUGAGCUGCGUCUGCUCCACCCUCAGCCGUGAGUAAGAGGCCGACGGGCAUGCCUUCCGCCUUACACCUUUCUCGAGCUCUACUUCGCGACGCUCCUGCACAAUCGACGCUCCUGCCUCCAAUCAAAAUACUUCGAUCCAGCUAACUUCCUGGUAGGUCCUGAGGUUGGAAACUGCACAACCGAAGAUAAGAAGGCCGCAACCCGCUCAUGGAGAGCGGCCAUUAUCACUCGUCAUAAGCGAGACUCAUAAAAAUCGGUAAAGCAGAUAAGUCGUAGUAUCCGCCGUGAAAACUCUCUCCUCUGACUCGGGCCACUGACUCCUCGUACUCGCAUAACGUUGCGCAGAAUCCCUGCUCCAUCUUCACUCUAGACGCUCUGUAAGGAAGUUGCGCCAAAAGAAGCUCCUGAAUCAGCGUCCUAUGUAUAUCGCGCCAAGUCGUAUUAAGGUUGCUUCCGAUAUCUCAACCACCAACGUAGGAAUCCUCCGCCGUCGAAAAGUGAUGGCGAGCCAAACUCUGUCCCGCUCCUCCACAAAUGUUUCGAAAAAACUUCUCCAUAGUGACCACUUCACAAUCCAGUGGCAGGACGUUCUCCGCCAUCUACGUACUCAGGCUCCACCUGCCUGAACUCACUGAGAGAUUCCUACGAUCCGUUCGAGUCUCCCUCGCGCCGAUCAAGAGGAAAUGCCUGUAUAUACUGGAACUUCUAAAAAUAUGAAUUACGGUGUAGCAUUUAAAUGAGUUCGGUGAGUUCGUGUAGAUGUAUAAUUAAUCGGAUUAAAAUAUAAAAAUAAAAUAAAUAAAAAUAUAUAGAUAGCUGUUUUAUUUGAUUUAGAGAGUGAAUAUAUGUUGGAGAAUAGAUACAUGUGCUGAAUAUUUCGAAGUUGAAAACAGAAGAUUUAGAAUUUUCUGUUGGAACAAGGACUGAUAAAUUAUUGAAGAAUAGCAACGAAGUCUCUUCAGAAAGAUUAGAAAAUGCCAGGAUGAUGUCAGAUAUAUUUUUAUGAGGCUAGAUUUAAAUCUCCAACUUAUUUUUCUGAUCAUAUACUCCGUAUAGUGGAAAUAAAUCCGACGCUAUUGAUAAAGGAUUACAUUCGGAUGCAGCUUUCAGUGACCAAACGAGGUCGACAAACUAGAAAACUUAAGAUAUAUACUUACUCAGUACUGAAAACUGAGCAUACUAAAGAUGCCUGUCAUAUUUGAGUCAAACGUACGUAUCAGCAAGGUUCUGACUGAAACUUAUACAGAAAUUUGAGGGAAUAAGCUGAAAAGUUGAAUAGUUGAGGUGUUGCUUGUGUAAAAGAAACAUCUGCCUUUUUCCUCUCCUCCCUCAACGUGUAACACACAACGCAACCAAUACUGCGCCAGUUCGGAGUACCGCCACGCACACUACACGCCUGGAAGGGGAAAUAGAAGCCAUCCUUCUCUCUCUUAAAUCUCUCCCAAAAGGAGAUUUUGGGUGAACGAGAGCUCUAAAGUGAUUUCCAUCUUUCUCCAUCUUCUAUGACGCUCUCCAUGGAAGCCAAGGUUUUAAGUAAGCUUCAAAACCCUUUAUAAUGUUAUCGCGUCUUUGAGUUUGGGUUUUAAGCUUCAAUAGAUAGAUUGUAGAGCUAUUCUAGCAAUGCUAAAUAACGAUUGAAUUGACUUGAUCAUAGAUGGUGGGCGAUUUAAUUAUGAUUUAAUUGGCUAGAUAUAAACCUAGGGCUCUAAGUCGCAGUUUUGGCUACUAGAAGGUUUGAUCUCAUUUAACCUGUGUAAACCUAUUUGAUAGUCAAUGGAGCGUGGACGACGGUUCGCGAUAUCGUCGAGCCGGUUCAAAGUUAUUAAAGAACGGACGUUUAGACUUCGUUUCCGCCGGAGCCAGCGACGUCGUAAAUCCUAGAAACGGGAUUGGAGCAUCGUAACAAAAACUCAGGAAGAAACUUUAUUUUCGGAUGCCAGAUCUGAUGUCGUUCGGUGGUUUGUGGUGCAGUGGUUUGGGUCGAACGCCGAGCGGCGUGCGCCCGGGAGGUCCGAUUGCAAGUGACUACGAGCAAUCUGAACGCUUAUACAGUGGGGGUGUCCCUCCGCCGAAGCAACUGAGUCUUCUAGUCUUAGUACUUUAUCAAAUUGUAUAAAGCAUAUUGUAUUGUUUUAUCAUUAUAGAUGACAAUACAUAGCAUUCAUAAUUAUUGACUGAUGUUAUGACUAAUAUUACGGAUUAUGAUAGGAUAUAUAUGUAAUGGACAUAAGAUUAGUAAUGACAUUGGUGAAACCGUAUGAUCUAAAUGCAAGAAGAAACCUAGGUGUAUUUACAGAAUUAGUUUCCAAGUGGCAUUUGAACUCAUUGUGCUAAAACACUAUGAGCUUAACUAGUAACGGAUUGUUGUUGUACUAGAAACUCUAGUUCAACAUUGAUCAAGUGCAUAUUGGAUUUGCAUUAUAAAUAACUAGUUGAUUGUACAUGUCAUGCAUGCUAGUGGCGAGUGUAGUGCACUUAUAAUACUGUACCUAGUAGCAUGAAAUUGGGACUUCAGUGUGUGAAACCCUAUACAGGCAUUGAUUUAAUGUUGAUUAAACUGUAUGAUAAAAAUUAAUAGAUCAGUCAUAUUUAGGCUAUUCAUUGCAUAUAGGUUAGGAGAUAUUAUGGCUUAUUGCUUAUAUUGCAUGCUAGAACUAUACAUCUUGAUGAUUGGGAUCUAUCUAGUAUGCAUAGAACUUAGACCCUAUAUGUGAUGAUUAAUGUUAUGAUUAAUUAAAGAACUAGUAUGAGACACUGAUUUUUAAAUGAGUCUAAAUGACGAGUGCAUCUAAUUAUAAAACUAUACAAUGGCAUCUAGUUAUAGAAAAUAUGAUUGAGGCAUAUGAUUAUUGAUGACUCAUUCGAUGUUGAGAACAUUAAUGUAGUUGAGACACUAGAGAUUGUUACUAGUAUCUUGAUUCGAUGAAUGAGACUAUCCUUAGAGCGUAAGUUGCUGCUGUUCUGAGUUUGAUCGUCGCUCCAUAGCCUGUCUGCGCUGGAGGGUCGUCCACACAAGUGUGAACUACCGGUAGGUUGUCGCCUAAGAUGGACAGUCACUGUCUGUCUACGUACGUCUUUGCUGUCCGCAGGUUCUCGGAGUAAGUUCAGUGAGACUUCCCUAUGAGAAUUUACACGUGAUAUAUGUUCGUGAAACCCCGAUUUCACCAAUGAGAUUGUUCGUUACCUAUUUGAUCAUACUCAUUAUGUUGUUCAUGAUAGCUUGCUUCCAUAGUUGUGUUGUUUGUCAUAGUACUUCUAGUUCAUAGUAGCUUACUAUUUGCAUGCAUUCAUGAUAUACAAUUCACCUCACCUAUGAGAUUGGUGGAGUAGCCACUGUCAACGUCAGACGUGAAUGUGAAGCUCGGGCCAAGUGAGCUAGCCUUUUGCCUAGGAGCCUUGAGAUUGAGUCGGGCAACCAAGUGGCGGGGUAAGCCUUUUGCUAGACCUUCGAGAUUAGAGUCAGACCUUUGAAUUUGAGUCGGUGCGAGAGCGGGGUAGUCUUGCUCAGACCCUUAAAGAAAUGAAUCUCGAUAAUGAAACAAAAUAGGUAGCUUUACUCUACGUUAAUUAUAGAUCUUAAGGCAAAGUAACUAGAUUGGCAAUACAUGAUAGCAUCAAGUGGAUGGCAUUCAUUACCCAUGAUUCGCACAUAGUGCAUUUGGCAUAACUAUGUUAAUAGUUUGUAUUCAUUCACUGUGGAGAUAUUUAGCAUAUAUAGAUUGUUGCUAGAUGAUAAUCCAUGCACUCCGUUCCUUUGAUGGCAUAGUAAUAUACGUAGCAGUUUAUUUCGCAUAAAUCUUCUAUCUAUCUAUCUGUGCCACUUGGACGCUAAGUGGGAAAAUCGGCGGAGUCGUUGUGGCCGAACCCACUGGAAUAUAUUAUAUAUUUCUCGACGCUCUUCGCGUGGUUUGGGGUACAGGUACAUUUACAGAGCGAACCGUCAGUUGAUUGCGCGGAAGGGCUUAGCCCCUAGGUGCUCGUGUAUUUACUUCCUUUUGCAUUAGAAUUACCUUAAUACUGUAUGAGUGACAUGAUGUAUAGGAUGUGAGGUAUUUUGAGAUAAAUGUAAACUAAUGUUUAUCUUUUGAAGAAUGUAAGCUUAUAUUCAUAUUUUGGAAAAGAAUGCAAGUUGUAAUUAAAUGUAUCAAGUAGAAUGGUUGUAAUAGAAUAGUUAAGUAUCUCUCUUUUGUUUCACUUGUAUGUCUUCUACUUGUGACGCUUGCUCUUGUAAUGUUCAGCACUGUUCGUGCUUUAGUUGUUGUAUGAUUGUGUAUGUAUUCAAGUAUUUUCCUGGGAACUUGUUGUACACAAUCUCGUCAUUUGAGCCUUGGGCGGACAGGGGAGACUCUGUCCGUUUGGCGGUCCGCUUGCCGCGCCCGAACCGUGCCAAAUCGGUAGCGGCCUCGGGGCGGGGGCGUGACAAUGCCGCCCCUGUCGCCGGUCUCUGAACUGGUAGUGCCACAGCCACCUCCUCCCGAGGUGCGGUCGCCGGUGCCGCACGUGAAGAACUGGGCGUAGGGGACUACGCCCUCGGUGCGACGUCCACCACGGGUGCUGGCGGAGUGGGACCCUGGGUCUCCCUCGAAGCUGCCGCCUGCUGAAGUAGAAGGUCCUCCAGAUGCUUCAUCCGCGCCUCCUGCCGCUGAGCCACCUCAGCCUGUCGCUGCGCCGCUGCCAUCUGCUGCGCCAACAGAUCAGUGAGAACAGCAAGUUGGGCCCUCAAGUCACGGACCUCACUAGAUCCAGAAGUAGCGGAGGUCUCGACUUCCUCGGGGUGUGCCGCAUCAUCCGCCCCGGCAGACUGGGAGCGUGUAACCGGCAUCGUCACUACAAAACAUAAAGGCGCAAGUUAGUAACCCACGCUAUCGCAACCCCGCUCAAAUAGAUAAAACCCAAAUCAUGCGAAAUUAAGGAAGUGUCCUUCACUACUAACUCCCGAUGUUACGUUGUCGGCCGCCAACGUAACCCUCCGCGAAGUUAGAAGCCAUACACUCUUAUCAACUCUAACUUUUUAGAGUUAUCAUAAACCCAAUCGAAAUACUUUCGCUCACAAGUCAAUUAGACCUCGUCUCUCACGAGCCUAAUUCCUAUAGUCCAACCGGCCUAAGGUUUGCAAGGUCCACUAAGACUCAACCCUAGGCUCUGAUACCAAAUUAAUCUGUCACGCCCCGGGACCGGCAGAGGCCCUCCCGGUAGCGCGCCCAGACCCGCCCUAUGUCAUCACAUAGAAGGCGUCUAAAGUAACAGCGGAAAAUGAAACAAGAAAAAUUCUAUACUAAAGAUAUCAGAGCACAAGUAGAUCUAUCAUCUAUAACAAGGUAAAAGGAAAUAAUACUAAAACAUAAAAACUACAAAUAAGUUAUACAAUAACAUGUCCACUAAGUACACAAAAGGGUGGUCUCUAGUACACUGGUACAGCUCUCAACCUCUCCAAAAAAACAAAACGCAUCGAGAGGUAGACCACCUAUCAACUCGUCCCUCGCUGAAGAGCUAGCUGGAAGCAAUGCCCUUCCCUCGGUCCUUAACCUCUCCCGGCGUGGAAGGCUCUGAAAGAAACAUAAAAUAGAGGGCGCGAGAACUAUAAUUUAUAGUUCCCAGUGGGCAAUUACUAACCUCAGCUCAUCGCACCACUAGGCCCCAAAAGGAAAGGGGUAAGUCCAAGAUAGUAAUAACAAUAAAUAAAUCGCAAAUGUGAAAACAUAAUUAAAAUUGUUAAAUUACUACUUUGCAAUUGAAUCUGGCAUUUAUAUGAUGCACUUUUACCUUGUCAUGACUAGUAUGUUUCUGCAUAUUCACAAGUACUUUCAAGAUUUACUUGAAGUUAUGAAGGUUAUACUUUAUCAUGGCGACAUUAUAUAUAUGAAUGCAAUGGCGACAUCUCCUAGCAUACUACAUGUAUAUAUGCAUACUCAUGUGUCCAACACUAUGCUAGAAGCAAACCCAAGUAAUCCAACUACUACUCUCUAUCUAGUAGUGAUUGUCACACACUCAAUACUGUGUCGGUUUCCAUUUCCAAUUAGGGACCUACCCAAGGUAGUCCAGCUUGCGCCGCCUAAGUGCCUGUGGUAGCCCAACAUCCCUACCCUUGGAAUGUGUCUGUCCCACUCGACCCCGUAGGCUUCUCAAUACCGCACGAGCGAACAUAAGUCGCGUAGGCUAACUCCGGAGUGCCGGCUUGUGGGGAGCGACCCACACAAGUAUGUGCGAAUAAGCACAAAUGGCAAACAAGCAAGGUCACUGUCUCAAAUACUCUAUCCACGUGUCUCUAACAUGGCAAGGUCACUAGCAUCCCAAGGAUCUAGCCCAAUGUCUCUAAGUGAUGUCCCAACACUCACUUGCUUAGUGCCUCUUUAUGACAUUUAAGCAUCACAACUGAUCAAGCCCAAUUCUUGUUCUAUGUUUCAUUUAAAACAUUAAUACCAAUGAUUACUAUAGCCCGGGCCCAAUGCCUCUUUAUGACAUUGGCCCAAUUCUCAAAUAGUCCAAGUUCUCAAGCCCUCUCUAGGCUUCUAAAAUCCCUAAUGUCACAAUUGGCAUAUAGGUUAAAUGCAAGAAAGCAAGAUCCAUUUUCAUGAUAGGGGCCAUAGUUCCAAAUCUCAUCUAGAAUGCUAUGUUUCACAUGCAUGCUCUCUACUACAUAGAGGUCAAAAAUUUACUUUACAUAACGUAUGCAUGUUAAGCAUUCUAAAAUUCAUAAUAAUUACAUUUAACAUGGAAAUGCAUGAAUUUCUACUUUAUGAAACACAUUUCGCCAAAUAUGAGGAUUUCUCAUAUCAUAGGUUAGGUCAAACCCACUGAACCGUCGC